CAAGCGUUAAUCGGAAUUACUGGGCGUAAAGCGCACGCAGGCGGUUGAUUAAGUUAGAUGUGAAAUCCCCGGGCUUAACCUGGGAAUGGCAUCUAAGACUGGUCAGCUAGAGUCUUGUAGAGGGGGGUAGAAUUCCAUGUGUAGCGGUGAAAUGCGUAGAGAUGUGGAGGAAUACCGGUGGCGAAGGCGGCCCCCUGGACAAAGACUGACGCUCAGGUGCGAAAGCGUGGGGAGCAAACAGGAUUAGAUACCCUGGUAGUCCACGCUGUAAACGAUGUCGAUUUGGAGGUUGUUCCCUUGAGGAGUGGCUUCCGGAGCUAACGCGUUAAAUCGACCGCCUGGGGAGUACGGCCGCAAGAUUAAAACUCAAAUGAA
rnacentral:rRNA from 1 species